rnacentral:rRNA from 1 species
UGGUGCCAGCAGCCGCGGUAAUUCCAGCUCCAAUAGCGUAUAUUAAAGUUGUUGCCGUUAAAAAGCUCGUAGUCGAACUUCGGCCUUUGCCGCCCGGUCCGCCCUAUGGGUGUGUACUGGAGCGGUGGAGGCUUACCUCGUGGUGAACGGCCAUGCUCUUUACUGGGUGUGGUCGGGAACCAUGAUUUUUACUUUGAAAAAAUUAGAGUGUUCAAAGCAGGCUUACGCCCGAAUACAUUAGCAUGGAAUAAUAAAAUAGGACGUGCGGUUCUAUUUUGUUGGUUUCUAGAAUCGCCGUAAUGAUUAAUAGGGAUAGUUGGGGGCAUUCGUAUUCAAUUGCUAGAGGUGAAAUUCUUGGAUUUAUUGAAGACGAACUACUGCGAAAGCAUUUGCCAAGGAUGUUUUCAUUGAUCAAGAACGAAGGUUAGGGGAUCGAAAACGAUCAGAUACCGUUGUAGUCUUAACAGUAAACGAUGCCGACUAGGGAUCGGACGAGGAUUUUUAAUGACUCGUUCGGCACCUGAAGAGAAAUCUUUAAGUCUAGGUUCGGGGGGGAGUAUGGUCGCAAGGCUGAAACUUAAAGGAAUUGACGGAAGGGCACCACCAGGUGUGGAGCCUGCGGCUUAAUUUGACCCAACACGGGGAAACUCACCAGGUCCAGACACGACAAGGAUUGACAGAUUGAUAGCUCUUUCUUGAUUUCGUGGUUGGUGGUGCAUGGCCGUUCUUAGUUGGUGGAGUGAUUUGUCUGGUUAAUUCCGAUAACGAACGAGACCUUAACCUGCUAAAUAGCCCGGCCGACUUUGGUUGGUCGCUGGCUUCUUAGAGGGACUAUCAGCGUUUAGCUGAUGGAAGUUUGAGGCAAUAACAGGUCUGUGAUGCCCUUAGAUGUUCUGGGCCGCACGCGCGCUACACUGACCGAACCAGCGAGUUUAUCACCUUGGCCGGAAGGCCUGGGUAAUCUUGUGAAACUCGGUCGUGAUGGGGAUAGAGCAUUGCAAUUAUUGCUCUUCAACGAGGAAUACCUAGUAAGCGUGAGUCAUCAGCUCGCGUUGAAUUCGUCCCUGCCCUUUGUACACACCGCCCGUCGCUACUACCGAUUGAAUGGCUUAGUGAGGUCUCCGGAUUGGCUUCUGGGAGCCGGCAACGGCACCUAGUCGCUGAGAAGUUGAACGAACUUGGUCAUUUAGAGGAAGUAAAAGUCGUAACAAGAGAUCGGAAGAGCACACGUCUGAAC